GCAGAUUCCGUGACCAUCGAAUCUUUGAACGCAAAUUGCGCCCAAGGCUUCGGCCGAGGGCAUGUCUGCCUCAGCGUCGGCUU
rnacentral:rRNA from 1 species